GUUGUACUUCCCUCCUGUGUUUCCUCCAGUGUUCGUUCCAGUCCCUUGCUCUGUGGAUACCCCGUCACUCAUCGACAAGAGACUAGCCCAAAUCCCUGUCCUGGUCACCAGCUGCCACGGAGGCCUUUGAAACACUAAAGAACGCCUUCACCUCGGCACCGCUCCUCGUCCACCUAGACCCCAACAAACCGUUUGUGGUAGAGGCGGACGCUUCCACUACGGUGCUUUCGCAGCAGCAGGGGACUCCAGCCAAACUCCAUCCAUGUGCCUUCUUCUCCUGCAAACUCAGCCCGGUGGAGAGAAACUAUGACAUCGGCAACAGGGAACUCCUUGCGAUCAAAUUAGCCCUGGAGGAAUGGAGGCAUUGGUUGGAGGGAGCUCAGCAUCCAUUCAGUGCCCUCACUGACCAUAAGAACUUGCAGUAUCUACGAGACGCUAAGAGACUCAAUUUCACCAUUUCCUAUCGCCCAGGCCCCAAAAAUGUGAAAGCAGAUGCCUUCUCUCGUCUCCAUGCUCCUGAGGAAAUCAAUGAAGAACCAGAAUCCAUAAUCCCCACGGAAAUCAUCGUCAGUCCCAUCCAAUGGAACAAUAACCCGGAUACCUCCACCAAUGCUUCCACGCCUACUCCGCUUGGCUGUCCACCAGGAGCACAAUAUGUCACCAGAGCACAACGCACUUCCCUGAUCCACUCCGUCCACACUUCUCACAUGCACCUGUCACGGAUUAACAAUCACCCUCAGCUCCCAUUCAUACGCACACACCUCACACCACGCCAGUGUCCGAUCUCGUUCAAACAAAGUGGACUCUCUCUCUAUGAUAUCCAUAAAGAUUAAUUGAAAGACUUACCUACCAGUUGUACUUACCUCCUGUGUUUCCUCCAGUGUUUCCUCCAGUGUUCGUUCCAGUUCCUUGCUCCUUGGUUCCCCCGUCACUCAUCAUCUGAGGUGUGUGCUAUCCUCUGUCUCCCUUCCACGAUCUCCUGGGAAUCCCCAUACUAGAGUAUUCUCUCCUCAUCUUCCCAAAGGACUUCCGAACUAGCUUUAUACUCACCUGCCCGU
rnacentral:lncRNA from 1 species